UGGGGAAUCUUGCACAAAGGGGGCAACCCUGAUGCAGCGACGCCGCGUGAGCGAUGAAGCCCUUCGGGGCGUAAAGCUCUUUCGACCGGAACGAUAAUGACGGUACCGGGAGAAGAAGCUGCGGCUAACUACGUGCCAGCAGCCGCGGUAAUACGUAGGCAGCAAGCGUUGUUCGGAGUUACUGGGCGUAAAGAGUGCGUAGGCGGUUUUCUAAGUUCGGUGUGAAAUCUCCCGGCUUAACUGGGAGGGUGCGCCGAAGACUGGGAAGCUGGAGUGUGGGAAAGGCAGGCGGAAUUCCUGGUGUAGCGGUGAAAUGCGUAGAUAUCAGGAGGAACACCGGCGGUGUAGACGGCUUGCUAGACCAUAACUGACGCUGAGGCACGAAAGCGUGGGUAGCAAACA
rnacentral:rRNA from 1 species